rnacentral:lncRNA from 10 species
CAGGCAUAUAUGAGAAAUCUUCCUUUCUCUCAAUUUUGCUGUGAACCUAAAACUGCUCUAAAAAAAUAAAGUCCUAGGCCGGGUACAGUGGCUCAGGCCUAUAAUCCCAGCCUUUUUGGAGGCCAAGGUGGACAGAUUGCUUGAGCCCAGGAGGUUGAGAUCAGCCUGGGCAACAUGGCAAAACCCCAUCUCUACAAAAUAUACAGAAAAGAAAAGAAAUUGGUGAGGCUUGGUGGUGUGCCCUUAUAGUCCCAGCUACUCAGGAGGCUGAGGCAGGAGGAUCACUUGAGCCCAGGAGGUUGAGGCUGCAGUGAGCUGAGAUUAUGCCACUGCACUCCAGCCUGGGCAACAGAGUGAGGCCAAGUCUUGAAAAAAUAAAACAAAAAAGUCCAUAUUAUUUUUUUUAAUUGCCUGGAUAUGUUUAAACUUUCUCCUUCUUACACCACACAGUAGGGAUCAAGGCUCAGUAGCCACUGCCCUGCAUUGUCUCUGAUAAUCAAAGUAGAGGGUACAAGGAAAAAAAAAGAACAGCCAUUACUACACAAGUGUAACUUUAACCAUACCUGGGUGAAUUUGCUUAAUUUUCUUCCCUGUUGAGAAUAUUCACGUCUCAUUUUUAAAAAGAUAAACCCAUGUGAUAAAAGUUCAGCUCAGUCACUAUUCAGAUGCAUGAAGAAGCUCUUUGUUGAUCCAUCAAAGCCAUAAGAGGCCUCAGAGAAGACAAGGACACUAUUUUUAAUGGGAAAAGAUUCUGGAUAUCCCCAAGGUUGAAAGGCUUUUAUAAAACUCCAGGGAAGUGGUUUGAGGAACAUUGAGAAAGAACAUAUUGUUCCAGCAGGAAACUGAGUGCAAGGCAGACACUAUGGCAAAAUUCCAGUUACACCAGAAUUAUCCUCACAGUACUUUACAAAAUCCUGUCUGGGAAUCUCCACUCUUUCCUCACUGUCGCCCAUGCAACUAUACCAUCAUCUAGAUGACUUAGGGAGAUUCUCCACGUGGUAGAGACUAAUCUGGAGGCAAGAAGUCCAGGAUCAAGGUUCUGGCCAAUUCGGUGUCUGGGAGGGCUCUCCUCCUGGCUUUCAGAAGGCUGUCUUCCCACUGUGUCCUUACACGGCAGAGAAAGUGUGAGCUCUCUGGUAUCUCUUCUUUUAAAGACACUAAUUGUAUCACAUCAAGGACCCACCUUUAAGAUCUCAUUUAGCCUUAAUAACUUCCUUAAAGGCCCCAUCUGUAAAUUCUGCUGCAUUGGUGACUGGGGCUUCAACCUAAGAGUUUUGGUGGGACAUAAAAUCUCAGUCCAUAACACCUGGCAAACUCUCUUAAUCUUCUAAGAUAUAAUUCAAACCUUGUUUCCUUUGGAAAGCCUCCCUAGCCCCUAAACUAUAAUUAGAUGUUUUCUCCUCAAUCUUCAUAUUAGUUCCUAUCAUGCAGUAUUAAUUACAUUGAACAAUAAUUAAGUACAUGUUUGUUCCCCUCAUUAGACUACAGGACAUUUGCAUUACUCUGUUUUCACAUUGCUGAUAAAGACAUACCUGACACUGGGUAAUUUAUAAAGAAAAAUAGGUUUAAUGGACUCACAAUUCCACGUUAUUGGGGAGGCCUCAAUCAUGGCAGAAGAUGAAAGGCACGUUCUUACAUGGCAGCAGGCAAGAGAGAGAAUGAGAACCAAGUGAAAGGGGUUUCUCCUUGUAAAACCAUCAGAUCUCUUGAGACUUAUUCACUACCAUGAGAACAGUAUAGAGGAAACCGCCCCCAUGAUUCAAUUAUCUCCCACCAGGUCCCUCCCCCAACACAUAGGAAUUAUGGAAGCUACAAUUCAAGAUGAGAUUUGGAUGGGGACACAGCCAAACCAUAACAACAUUGAAAAUCAGGGACAGUAGUUUGUUUGCUUUUUAUCCCUAACACCUAGGACAGUGCCUGGCACAAAGUUGGUGUUUAACAAAUACUUAAGGAAAGAGGAAAAGAAACAUUACACCUCUAGAAGAAAGUGUAAAUUUUCCAAACAAUUGAAUUACAAAUGAAUGCCAGAAUAUCCAUCAUCCACUGAAUUUGUGUCAAUGAUAUAUAAAUUCAACUUCCAGAUGUAGUGGUUAAGAGUGUCUGGGUUAAUAGAAUACUAUGCAGUCAUAAAAAUAAUGAACUCAUGUUGUAUGCAGCAACAAGGAUGCAGUUGGAGGCUGUUUUCCUAAGUGAAUAAACACAUAAACAGAAAACCAAAUACCACGUGUUCUCACUAAUAAGUGGGAGCUAAACAUUGGAUACACAUGAACAUAAAGAUGAGAAUAAUAGACACUGGGAAUGGCAAAAAAGGGAAGGGGGAGUCCAAGGGUUGAAAAACUACCUAUUGGGUAGUAUGUUCACUAUCUGGGUGACAGGAUCAAUAGAAGCCCAAACCUCAGCAUCAUGCAACAUACCCUUGUAAUAAACCUGCACAUGUACCUCUUGAAUCUAAAAUAAAAUAAACUGGGGGGGAAGGGGAAGAGGAGAGGUGGGGAUGGUUAAUGGGUACAAAAAAAUAGAAAGAAUGAAUAAGACCUACUAUUUGAUAGCACAAUGGGGUGACUGUAGUCAAUAAUAACUUAAUUGUACAUUUAAAAAUAACUAAAACAGUAUAAUUGGAUUGUUCAUAAUACAAAGGAUAAGUGCUUGAGGGAAUGGAUAACCCAUUCAUUCUCCAUGAUGUGAUUAUUAUGCAUUGCAUGCCUGUAUCAAAACAUCACAUGUACGUCAUAA